CUACUGCCGCCCAUCCCAAUUCUUCCUGCUGAAACCUCCGACCCCUCCUCCCAAACCUGCCUCAUCCUCAACUGCAUCGGCCAUUUUCGCCUCCACGGGGAUCCCGUUGGUUCCGCAUGUGUCAAUUCCGGUUGCGAUUAUCUUGAUAUUUGCUGUGAGGAGUUUAUGGAGAGAAUGGAGAGUGAUUAUCAUAAUCGAGCAUAUGAAACUGAUUCCUUGGUGGUUUUCGGUUGUGGUUUUGAUUCGGUUCUGAUGGAGCUUGGGUUGUUGUUUAAUUCGUUGUAGUGGGUAUGUCCCGCUGUGCCGAACCGGGUUACGGUGUAUGUUAGCUUGGAGUCUGGGAAGAGGAUUGUUGGUAACUUUGCUACGUAUGAAUUGGAGGUUCUUGGUGUGGAGAAUGAGAAAGAUUUGCAGGCGUUUAGAAGGUCUAGAACAAGGAGAAGAGCUAGGCGUCAGGAAUACAUUUUCCCCAUUGCAUGAGUGUUUGUCUGGGAUUGGAUUAUGCAU